GAUGAACGCUGGCGGCGUGCCUAAUACAUGCAAGUCGAGCGAACAGACGAGGAGUUUGCUCCUUUGACGUUAGCGGCGGACGGGUGAGUAACACGUGGAUAACCUACCUAUAAGACUCGUAUAAUUUCGGGAAACCGGAGCUAAUACCGGAUAACUUAUUGAACCUCAUGGUUCAACAGUGAAAUUCGGUCUUGCUGUCACUUAUAGAUGGAUCAGGCCCGCAUUAGUUACUUGGUAAGGUAACUGCCUACCAAGGCAACGAAGCGUAGCCGACCCCAGAGGGACAUCCGCCACCCGGGAAGUGAGACAGGGUAGAGACACCUACGGUAGGCAACAGCACGGAAUCUUACGCAAUGGGCGAAUGCCUAACGGAGCAACGUGGCGUGAGUGCAGAAGGUCUUAGGCCGGGAAAACUAUGUUAGUAGGAAAAAACAAAUGUGUAAGUAACUAUGAACGUAUUGACGGUACCUAAUCAGAAAGCCACGGCUAACUACGUG
rnacentral:rRNA from 1 species